UACAGAGGUCUCAAGCGUUGUUCGGAUUCAUUGGGCGUAAAGGGUGUGUAGGUGGCGCCGUAAGUCGGGUGUGAAAUUUCGGAGCUUAACUUCGAAACUGCAUUCGAUACUGCCGUGCUUGAGGACUGGAGAGGAGACUGGAAUUUACGGUGUAGCGGUGAAAUGCGUAGAUAUCGUAAGGAAGACCAGUGGCGAAGGCGGGUCUCUGGACAGUUCCUGACGCUGAGGCACGAAGGUCAGGGGAGCAAACGGG
rnacentral:rRNA from 1 species